AUACGGAGGAUGCGAGCGUUAUCCGGAUUCAUUGGGUUUAAAGGGUGCGUAGGCGGAAUAAUAAGUCAGGGGUGAAAGUUUGCGGCUCAACCGUAAAAUUGCCUUUGAUACUGUUAUUCUUGAGCACACACGAGGUAUGCGGAAUGUGAUAUGUAGCGGUGAAAUGCUUAGAUAUAUCACAGAACACCGAUUGCGAAGGCAGCAUACUAGAGUGUCACUGACGCUGAUGCACGAAAGCGUGGGUAUCGAACAGGAUUAGAAACCCCAGUAGUCC
rnacentral:rRNA from 1 species